CGUCUAAGCAGUAAGGCUGAGUAUUAGGCAAAUCCGGUACUCGUUAAGGCUGAGCUGUGAUGGGGAGAAGACAUUGUGUCUUCGAGUCGUUGAUUUCACACUGCCGAGAAAAGCCUCUAGAUAGAAAAUAGGUGCCCGUACCGCAAACCGACACAGGUAGUCAAGAUGAGAAUUCUAAGGUGAGCGAGCGAACUCUCGUUAAGGAACUCGGCAAAAUGACCCCGUAACUUCGGGAGAAGGGGUGCUCUUUAGGGUUAACGCCCAGAAGAGCCGCAGUGAAUAGGCCCAAGCGACUGUUUAUCAAAAACACAGGUCUCUGCUAAACCGUAAGGUGAUGUAUAGGGGCUGACGCCUGCCCGGUGCUGGAAGGUUAAGAGGAGUGGUUAGCUUCUGCGAAGCUACGAAUCGAAGCCCCAGUAAACGGCGGCCGUAACUAUAACGGUCCUAAGGUAGCGAAAUUCCUUGUCGGGUAAGUUCCGACCCGCACGAAAGGCGUAACGAUUUGGGCACUGUCUCAACGAGAGACUCGGUGAAAUCAUAGUACCUGUGAAGAUGCAGGUUACCCGCGACAGGACGGAAAGACCCCGUGGAGCUUUACUGUAGCCUGAUAUUGAAAUUCGGCACAGCUUGUACAGGAUAGGUA
rnacentral:rRNA from 1 species